rnacentral:rRNA from 1 species
UGGUGGUGAGAGUGGCGAACGGGUGAGUAAUGCGUGACCGACCUGCCCCAUACACCGGAAUAGCUCCUGGAAACGGGUGGUAAUGCCGGAUGCUCCGACUCCUCGCAUGGGGUGUCGGGAAAGAUUUCAUCGGUAUGGGAUGGGGUCGCGUCCUAUCAGGUAGUCGGCGGGGUAACGGCCCACCGAGCCUACGACGGGUAGCCGGCCUGAGAGGGCGACCGGCCACAUUGGGACUGAGAUACGGCCCAGACUCCUACGGGAGGCAGCAGUGGGGAAUAUUGCACAAUGGGCGCAAGCCUGAUGCAGCGACGCCGCGUGCGGGAUGACGGCCUUCGGGUUGUAAACCGCUUUUGAUCGGGAGCAAGCCUUCGGGUGAGUGUACCUUUCGAAUAAGCACCGGCUAACUACGUGCCAGCAGCCGCGGUAAUACGUAGGGUGCAAGCGUUAUCCGGAAUUAUUGGGCGUAAAGGGCUCGUAGGCGGUUCGUCGCGUCCGGUGUGAAAGUCCAUCGCUUAACGGUGGAUCUGCGCCGGGUACGGGCGGGCUGGAGUGCGGUAGGGGAGACUGGAAUUCCCGGUGUAACGGUGGAAUGUGUAGAUAUCGGGAAGAACACCAAUGGCGAAGGCAGGUCUCUGGGCCGUUACUGACGCUGAGGAGCGAAAGCGUGGGGAGCGAACAGGAUUAGAUACCCUGGUAGUCCACGCCGUAAACGGUGGAUGCUGGAUGUGGGGCCCGUUCCACGGGUUCCGUGUCGGAGCUAACGCGUUAAGCAUCCCGCCUGGGGAGUACGGCCGCAAGGCUAAAACUCAAAGAAAUUGACGGGGGCCCGCACAAGCGGCGGAGCAUGCGGAUUAAUUCGAUGCAACGCGAAGAACCUUACCUGGGCUUGACAUGUUCCCGACCGCGGCAGAGAUGUCGUUUCCCUUCGGGGCGGGUUCACAGGUGGUGCAUGGUCGUCGUCAGCUCGUGUCGUGAGAUGUUGGGUUAAGUCCCGCAACGAGCGCAACCCUCGCCCUGUGUUGCCAGCACGUCAUGGUGGGAACUCACGGGAGCCAACCUCAUCUGCCUCGCACUCGUCAUGGCAGGAAUUCUGUCCGCAAGUAUCUACGGCAUCAUCUGGA